rnacentral:tRNA from 1 species
UGCGAGAUAGUGUAAUGGCAACACAUAGGUCUCAUAAGCCUAAGACUACAGGUUCGACUCCUGUUCUCGCUCCCA